GUUAACUGAGAGGUUUUGGAGUCAGACAGACCUGAGUUUGAAUCCCAGCUGUGUCACUUCCUAGUUGUGGGGUCUUGGACAAGCCAUUUCAUCUCCUCAGAGCCCACCUUCCCUCAGCUGUACCUUUUUAUAGACACAGAUCUACAGGAAUACAGCUGGGCUCUGCAGGUUUGGCCGGCCCACCAGGGAACAGGGUUCUGGCCGGGUUUAGGACACCGUGGCUUUCAGUUUGGCGAGGGCCCCAGAUAUGCCAGGGCCCAGCUGGCAAGUCCUUCCUGCUCCAAGGUUCUGAAGGUCCCAGCGGCCGGCCCUGCCCUCCAGUCUCCUCCCUCGGACCCGAGGCAGAUGGAAAUCAGAAUGCAGUGGAUCUUCAGGGUCCAGCCGCAGCAGGCCCAGAAGCCCCCAUGAUAGCCCAGGCCCCUCUGACCUCACCCCUUCUCUCUGGGCAGGUCCCAGCAGCAGAGACAGGAAUCGCCGGACCCCGGGGCCUCCGGGAGCCACGUGUGCCAGCGCAGCGCCUGCCAGCUCCCAGGCUGACCUCACAAUGGCUCCUUUCACCAGGAGAGGAGCUGGCCCGGCCCGGAGCCUGCGGGGGGAUGUCCCAGGCCCCAGGGCGUGGGGUGGGAGGUUGGAAACUGGGGAAUGGGCUGCUGAGGCUGGGAGAGCUGAAGGAUCUCAGCGCCACAUCCACCACCCGAUGUCAAGGGACUGCUUCAGGCGUAGUCUUAUGACCCAAACCAGUCCAGGGAGUUCCAUUUCCAGAUCCUGUGUUUAAACAUUUGGAGAAAUGAAUGUUUCCUCCUACUGGGCUUGGAACUGGGAGAGUGUCAGCCUGGAGCUGCCCGAAUUUGGAAAGGGCCUGCUCCAGAGUGAAGCCAACACAGGGAAAAGCAGAGAGAUGGAGGACCAAAUCCUGAUGGCAUCAUUUGAAAUCCUAGAUCCAGCUGUACCUGAAGCAGAUAAACUAAAUUUUGCAGUUU
rnacentral:lncRNA from 1 species